CGGGGCGCGGCCCGUCUGCGUCCGUCCGCGGAGAGCAGCAGGAUCCCUCCUUGUCCCCGCACAGGAGGCAGCGAGCGGAGAGACGCUCAGUGCCCGGGAAGGUUUACGGGGCUCGCGUGCCUCUCGGGGCGCAGCCGGCUGCCCCCAGGCCGCGGCGGGAAGGCGGGAACGAGCCCCGGCGCUCGCGGACAGCGGCGGCCCCUCCGCGGGGAAGGCUCGGCUGCCCCUCGGGUCCUCAGGAGCGAGCGCCUGGCGGUGGAAAUGCUGAGAACCCCGGGUUUGCAAGUGCCCAUUGAAGGCACAGAAUUAAAUUAUGAAGAAAAAAAAAAAAUGACCAGGGGCCGUAAGUAUACCUACAGCCCUAACUCUUUUUCGUAAGUGAUGCACUUAAAAUUCAACAAAUCCAACAUUGGACUCAUUAUCUCUACCCCCGCAUUGACUUCUCCUGUAUUUCUUGCCUCAGCAGCACCUCCUGCUCCUCCUCCCCACAGGUGGUUGGCAAAAUCCUCCUUUCUCGUCAUCCAAACUACCAUCUCAAGCAAGCCCAAGUAAUGAGUUGUAAGGAAAAUCACUACACUUCCAGAGAGAGAGAGAGAGCACGCAAGUAGGGGGAGCUGCAGAGGCAGAGGGAGAAGCAGAC